rnacentral:rRNA from 1 species
CCUACGGUCGGCAGCAGUCGAGAAUCAUUCACAAUGGGGGAAACCCUGAUGGUGCGACGCCGCGUGGGGGAAUGAAGGUCUUCGGAUUGUAAACCCCUGUCAUGUGGGAGCAAAUUAAAAAGAUAGUACCACAAGAGGAAGAGACGGCUAACUCUGUGCCAGCAGCCGCGGUAAUACAGAGGUCUCAAGCGUUGUUCGGAAUCACUGGGCGUAAAGCGUGCGUAGGCUGUUUCGUAAGUCGUGUGUGAAAGGCGCGGGCUCAACCCGCGGACGGCACAUGAUACUGCGAGACUAGAGUAAUGGAGGGGGAACCGGAAUUCUCGGUGUAGCAGGGAAAUGCGUAGAUAUCGAGAGGAACACUCGUGGCGAAGGCGGGUUCCUGGACAUUAACUGACGCUGAGGCACGAAGGCCAGGGGAGCGAAAGGGAUUAGAUACCCCGGUAGUC